rnacentral:lncRNA from 1 species
UAUACCCCUGAAAAGUUCCUGACUUUCCGAUUUACCCCUCCUAGAAGGCUAAUAUUGAAAAUACCCUUUCUACAUUCUAACAUAUUUCUAAUAUACUCCUAGAGUUAAAAUCUGUUAAUUAACUCUGUUAUCUCUGUAAAAUUACUAUUUUGCCCUUUAAAUAUACCCUUCGACCAUCACGGACUUUCUUAUUUGCACUUAAUGUCAGGGGCACAAAAAAUAUUUUAACUUUUGAUCUUUUCCAAUAUACCCCUCCACCGUCACCAAUAUUUCUUAU